GCCAUACAAGCGAGAUACCCUGCUGGUAUGUCUGUGCUAUGCACAAGGGACCGAGAUUACUGGAUGACAAAAUCUAAGAUCAUCUUCGAUGUCUUCGUCGAGGAGAUGGCACAACAGAGGGUUAUGAGGCAAUUUGGUCUUCUGCAGUUGGAGCUACCUCCCCCUAUAGAGAACCCGCUGCCAGCACACAUCCACAGGACGACAAGGAAGGGCAUGAACAGGACAACUGCUGACUGGCUAGUUAGACUAGAGCCGUAUGUUAUAGAAUGGGAGACAGCAAACACAAAUCUAUGGCACGAGAAUCACAAUUUCGAUCUCGAUGAAUUCAA